rnacentral:rRNA from 1 species
AUGGGCGCCGUCGCCUCCACGGUGGCGGCGCGCUUCGCCUUCUUCCCGCCCUCCCCGCCGUCGUACGGCGUCGAGCCCCCGCCCUCGCCGGCGGCCGCGGCCGCGGACGGCGCGGUGGUGGAGCUCAGCGGGGUGCCCCGGCGGGGCGGCGUGGAGGCGCGGCGGCUGCCGACCAAGCGCGGCUCGGAGGUGGUGGCCAUGUACGUGCGCCAGCCCGGGGCGCGCCUCACGCUGCUCUACUCCCACGGCAACGCCGCCGACCUGGGCCAGAUGUACGAGCUCUUCGUCGAGCUCAGCUCACACCUCAACGUCAACCUCAUGGGUUAUGAUUAUUCUGGAUAUGGGCAAUCAUCUGGGAAGCCAAGUGAGCAGAACACUUAUGCAGACAUAGAGGCCGCUUAUAGGUGUCUCAUAGAAACUUAUGGGGCCUCCGAGGAAAACAUCAUUCUGUAUGGUCAAUCAGUUGGCAGUGGCCCUACUUUAGAUUUGGCAUCUCGUUUGCCUCAUUUGAGAGCAGUGGUUCUACAUAGUCCAAUUUCGUCUGGCUUGAGAGUAAUGUAUCCUGUGAAACAUACAUACUGGUUUGACAUAUAUAAGAACAUUGACAAAGUUACAUUGGUCAAAUGCCCCGUGUUAGUAAUCCAUGGUACGGCUGAUGAUGUUGUUGACUGUUCUCAUGGGAGAGCACUGUGGGAACUGUCCAAAGUGAAGUAUGAGCCUUUGUGGGUCAAAGGUGGGAACCAUUGUAAUUUGGAACUCUAUCCCGAAUACAUUAAGCACCUAAAGAAGUUCGUCACAGCCAUAGAGAAGUCCCCACCACUGAAAGAUGAAUCUCCAGAAAGUUCAGGCCCUUCAGAUCUUGAAACAGGAUCUGAAAGUAUGGAGAGUUCAAGAAAAAGCACGGAUGUGAGGGACAAAUCAAGGUCAAGCACUGAUCACAGGCGGAGUACAGACCGACGGGAGAAACCAAGGAGCAGCAUAGAUAGGAAGGAUAAAGGCAGAAAGAGUGUAGAUCAUCCUGACAAACCACGGGCUAGUGUGGAUCAAUCUGAUAAGCCACGGAAAAGCAUUGACCGCUUUGGAGGGAUGAUGAGGUCGGUUAAAUUGUGCAAUAUUGACUGCUUCAAAGUAACUUCCACUUCCGGGAGCUGA